UAAUCGAUUUUGUAGUGAAUAAUAAAAAAGAAAAUGAAAAUAAAAAUAAAGAAAAUGGAAAAUAGUGCACGGAUACCGUAAGCAAUCGGAUCCAAUCCAAUUGGUGGCAUAAGUUAUGUAGUUUGUUGGUUGCCAAUAAAUGCAUAUAAAGUUUCCUAUGUAGUGCUGUAGUUUAGUGUAUAUAGCUAAAAGAAUAAAAUAAAUUAAAUUCGGUAUGGUGAUGGUGGUGGUAUAACAGUAAUAUUUUAGCACAUACGAGCUGUAUGCAAACACACAUACACGCAGGCAAAAGUACCCAGAGGUGUACUAAUAUGCGCAUGUAUCUGUGUGUGGGUGCGUGCGAGAGUCCACAUAACCAAACAAAGACAUGAGAUAAGUGAAGAAAACGGCUGCAGCCAUCUUGUACGCCUCACAUACAUACAUAUGUAUGUGGCUCUCACCCAAAGGCACAACUGAAAUGGAGACGAAUAAUAUAUAGUGAGAGCGAGAAGAAACACUGAUAAAUAUUUAUUAGCUGUUCAUGCGCGAAUCAAUUAAAGCUUGAUUGCUAAAAAUUGCGUGCAAAAUAACAACUGAGGGGACAUCGAUUUGUUUUGUUGACAUGUUCGACCAGACAAAUCUGGCAACGCUCGUUGCAUUCAGCACAAACGCAAUUUUAUUUAACAAUGCUACCUUUAUUAUACUUACAGCAUAUGUAUGUAUGCACAUGAGAAAUUUUUUUUUGUAUAUGUGUUUUUAUGUAGAGUCGCUUAAAUGUCAUUCGCUUUUAGUUCUUGAUUCUCGUUAACUUUUGAACAAGUACCGUAAUUUAUUCAACGAAUUGCUUACACUUGUCAGGCAAUGCAACUGUGCUUCGUUGAGGCGGCGUCUGGAUCUUUCUAGGCGUCUGCUUGCAAACAAACGGAGCUUUGUGCUAGCAAUUGCAGUUAUAAUGCGGUAAAUAUUUUUGUGUGUGCGUAUAUGUUCCUUAUCAUAUUGUCCAUAUCCGACGAGUGGCCUCAUCAUCAGCUUUAUUUGCACUUAGUCUUUGCUUAUCUCGUUGCCAAAACAAACA